rnacentral:rRNA from 1 species
GACGAACGCUGGCGGCGUGCCUAACACAUGCAAGUCGAACGAAGCUCUGCGAUACAAGACUUCGGUCAAGUUGAACGGAUGACUUAGUGGCGGACGGGUGAGUAACGCGUGAGGAACCUGCCUUUCAGUGGGGGACAACAGUUGGAAACGACUGCUAAUACCGCAUAAUGUAUUCUGACCGCAUGAUCGGAAUACCAAAGAUUUAUUGCUGAAAGAUGGCCUCGCGUCUGAUUAGAUAGUUGGUGAGGUAACGGCUCACCAAGUCGACGAUCAGUAGCCGGACUGAGAGGUUGAACGGCCACAUUGGGACUGAGAUACGGCCCAGACUCCUACGGGAGGCAGCAGUGGGGAAUAUUGGGCAAUGGGGGAAACCUUGACCCAGCAACGCCGCGUGAAGGAAGAAGGCUUUCGGGUUGUAAACUUCUUU